rnacentral:snoRNA from 1 species
ACGUUCUGAUUGGGACACUUUUUGAAGUAAUCUUUGAAUCUUUCAAAUGCUUCUAGAUAGCUCUCGAAGUCUGUUUACUUGAAACUAUGGACAUUUUUUCUGACCU